GCGACGGACCCACCUGAACCCAUGCCGAACUCAGAAGUGAAACGUUGUAGCGCCGAUGGUAGUGUGGGGUCUCCCCAUGCGAGAGUAGGACACUGCCAGGC
rnacentral:rRNA from 1 species